AUUGAGAGUUUGAUCCUAGCUCAGGAUGAACGCUGGCGGCGUGGAUAAGGCAUGCAAGUCAAACGCUGGAAGCUGGACUCUGGAAACUAGAAACUGGAAAAGAUACAAUGCGUAUAUGAAAAAUUUUCAAGAUCUUGAUGUUUAUACUCGCGCGAGCAAACUAUUUCCUGUGGUUUAUAAAAUAGUUCGUUCGUGGAAGAUUGUAGACCAAAGAGAACUUGGGAGUCAGAUCAUAAGAGCGUCUAAUUCAAUUCAUGCAAAUAUUGCGGAAGGAUAUGGUAAAUCGUCCCAAGAUUUCAAAAGGUAUCUUGGUAUGGCCAUUGGGUCUUGUGAUGAAGUUAGAAGUCACAUCAAGGAUUCAUUCAAUGUCGGAUUGGUUGGGAAAGAUGUUUACGAACAUCUUAUAAACGAAUACGAGAUUGUAGGCAAACAGUUAAUGCGAUUGAAACAGAAUUGGAAGUAGUCUUUCUAGUAAUCUAAUAUCUAGCGUCCAGCACUUUCUGCCGUAAGGCAGAUCGAAACUUGGCCAUAUGCUGGAAAGCUGUUUAGAGCUGCGCCAAGCACCCUUGAAAAGGUGCUCGGUCCUUAACAGUCAAUCAGCAGGGAAGAUUUGCAUUUUGAAAAAUGGGCGGAUUGGGGACAUGGCGUACCGACAAACCCGUAGUAUCGAGAGGACGCUCUCGGUUAGACGACUGUACGGCGGGACGUAUGUGUCAGAGUUCUACCGAUUCGUUUCAUUAGGGAGGUUCGACUUUCUUCGUCGCUUGAACCUCCCGCCCAUUUUUCAAAAUGCAAGAACCCUCAGAGACUACACGCUAAGCUCCAGCCGUAAUUUGAAAAAUUACAACUGGAUGAAGAUAUAGUCCGAUCCCGGUGGUGACAUCGGAAACGAGGUUAAGAGAAGCGCCUGGGUAGUACGACCGCAAGGUUAAAACUCAAAGGAAUAGACGGGGACUUGCACAA
rnacentral:rRNA from 1 species